UGGAGCCGUAUGAGGCGAGAGUCUCACGUACGGUUCCAAGAGUCUCCGC
rfam:Ipomoea nil DNA, scaffold: scaffold1421, cultivar: Tokyo-kokei standard.